rnacentral:rRNA from 1 species
UGGGGAAUAUUGCGCAAUGGGCGAAAGCCUGACGCAGCGACGCCGCGUGAGGGAUGAAGGUUUUCGGAUCGUAAACCUCUGUCAGAAGGGAAGAAACCGCACUGUGCUAAUCAGCAGUGCCUUGACGGUACCUUCAAAGGAAGCACCGGCUAACUCCGUGCCAGCAGCCGCGGUAAUACGGAGGGUGCAAGCGUUAAUCGGAAUUACUGGGCGUAAAGCGCACGUAGGCUGCUUUGUAAGUCAGGGGUGAAAUCCCACGGCUCAACCGUGGAACUGCCUUUGAUACUGCUUAGCUUGAAUCCGGGAGAGGGUGGCGGAAUUCCAGGUGUAGGAGUGAAAUCCGUAGAGAUCUGGAGGAACAUCAGUGGCGAAGGCGGCCACCUGGACCGGUAUUGACGCUGAGGUGCGAAAGCGUGGGGAGCAAACAGG